UACGUAGGUGGCAAGCGUUGUCCGGAAUUAUUGGGCGUAAAGCGCGCGCAGGCGGUCCUUUAAGUCUGAUGUGAAAGCCCACGGCUCAACCGUGGAGGGUCAUUGGAAACUGGGGGACUUGAGUGCAGGAGAGAAGAGUGGAAUUCCACGUGUAGCGGUGAAAUGCGUAGAGAAUGUGGAGGAACACCAGUGGCGAAGGCGACUCUUUGGCCCGAACACUGACGCUGAGGUGCGAAAGCGUGGGUAGCAAACAGG
rnacentral:rRNA from 1 species